ACUUUUUCCAUAAGGACAAUGAUAACCGAGGUUCGACUUACUGGAGAAGCACAGAAGUAAUGAACAACAGGGUAUCACCAUGUGCUGUGCUGGACAGUCCUAAUGAAGGAUAACCUUUAUCACACUUCAACCAGCCCGCAUGGUAAGAAACAGACAACACAGCACAGCUCUGUCCUGCACAGUGGAGACAGGAGGCCAUGGAACUGCCCUGAGCCAUGUCAGCAGGCUCCUUGCCACCACUGCUCCCUGCUGUAAGGGCAUGAAAGGAGAAAAGCAGAGAGGGAAGGCAGCGGGCUGCAGCACAGAGCACGACAUGAGGGGAAUCGCUGACAAAAAGGGGCAGGCUGCAGCCAAGGUUGCUCCCUAGCCUAUGACCUGCUUUGUUUCUGCGGCAAUCUGGUUCACAUUAGGAGUGCAGCACUGACAAAACUGGUGUGUGGGGGGGUAUUGUGUUGUUGUGGGCUUUAUGGGGUUUUUUUUUUCUUUCUUUUUUUUUGGGGGGGGGGGGGGGGGGUUGUCAUUUGCUGGCAGUUCCGUGCCUUUUGUCACCUCUUCUCUAAAUAUCUCUUUGUUCAGCCUCGUGCCUUUGAAACUUUACACCCAGGUCUAGCUAUCUUUGUAUUUCCAGCCCGAGGAACAAAGUAGGCACUAACUGAAAAACAACCGUGGACUCAUCUAGGCCUCAAGUUUUCCCCAACACAAGACCCCAGUAAUCUCCACCACGCUGUCGGCCUGCUGUCAGAAACACGCCGCACCCUGAGCUGCUGUGGCGUUACGGAAACGCGGUCUGACUGCCACAGCCACCUCGAGGCGCGGCACGGGCUUCCCCAGCCCACCUCAGCUCAGCAGUCCGUUGAGACCCUGACAAAAGAGGCUGUAGAGAGAUGGAGAUGCGAGAUAAACCCAUCGGGCAAUCUCAUUACGUGGCAACGAGCGAAGAGCCCUCCUCGCAAUCGACUCGAGAUAACGAGGCUGCCUGGAGGAACGAGCGAAGCCCGGAUAUUUACUUCUUUUCCUAUUAAAUAAACCUCAAUAACUGCAUUGGCUUUGCGCGGUGUUUACUACAUUUUCAUUCAGCGUUUGGGUAAAUGCAUCCCUAAAGGUAGAGUAAAUAAUUGCACUGAUCUCAACAAGGGAAACGUGUAGGCAUCUGAAGCGUACUAAAAAUAAACGAAGGCGAUCAGACUGCGGGGAGAGGACCCCGCGCUCGUUGCCGCAGUUAAAGCCCCUCUCCCCCAUCGGGGCCGCCCGGACGGGGCCGCGCUGCGGGCGGUGCGCG
rnacentral:lncRNA from 1 species